rnacentral:tRNA from 1 species
AGGCGCGUAGCUCAGGGGUAGAGCACUAGCUCGACACGCUAGGGGUCGACGGUUCGAGACCGUCCGCGCCUACCA